UACGUAGGUGGCAAGCGUUGUCCGGAUUUACUGGGCGUAAAGAGCGCGCAGGCGGUCGUUCAAGUCGCGUGUGAAAGCCCCCGGCUCAACUGGGGAGGGUCACGCGAUACUGAUCGACUCGAAGGCAGGAGAGGGAAGUGGAAUUCCCGGUGUAGUGGUGAAAUGCGUAGAUAUCUGGAGGAAUACCGGUGGCGAAGGCGGCAUCCUGGACCGACGAUUGACGCUGAGUGAGCGAAAGCUAGGGGAGCAAACGGG
rnacentral:rRNA from 1 species